ACCAUCAUAGCUCAGUGGCAGAGCACUGGACUUGUAAACCAGGGGUCGUGAGUUCUAUCCUCACUGGUAGCU
rnacentral:tRNA from 1 species